rnacentral:rRNA from 1 species
ACAGUUCGGUCUCUAUCUACUAUGGGCGUUAGAAAUUUGAGGGGAGCUGACAUUAGUACGAGAGGACCGUGUCGGACGCACCUCUAGUGUACCUGUUGUGGCGCCAGCUGCAUCGCAGGGUAGCUAUGUGCGGUUGGGAUAAGCACUGAAAGCAUAUAAGUGCGAAGCCCACCUCAAGAUGAGAUUUCUCUUAAGGGUCGUUCAAGAUGAGGACGUUGAUAGGCUACAGGUGUAAAGGCAGUAAUGUCACAGCCGAGUAGUACUAAUUACCCGUGGAUUUUUCAUC